AGUGAACGCUGGCGGUAGGCCUAACACGUGCAAGUCGAACGGCAGCACAGUAAGAGCUUGCUCUUACGGGUGGCGAGUGGCGGACGGGUGAGGAAUACAUCGGAAUCUACUUUUUCGUGGGGGAUAACGUAGGGAAACUUACGCUAAUACCGCAUACGACCUACAGGUGAAAGCAGGGGAUCUUCGGACCUUGCGCGAUUGAAUGAGCCGAUGUCGGAUUAGCUAGUUGGCGGGGUAAAGGCCCACCAAGGCGACGAUCCGUAGCUGGUCUGAGAGGAUGAUCAGCCACACUGGAACUGAGACACGGUCCAGACUCCUACGGGAGGCAGCAGUGGGGAAUAUUGGACAAUGGGCGCAAGCCUGAUCCAGCCAUACCGCGUGGGUGAAGAAGGCCUUCGGGUUGUAAAGCCCUUUUGUUGGGAAAGAAAAGCAGCAGGUUAAUACCCCGCUGUUCUGACGGUACCCAAAGAAUAAGCACCGGCUAACUUCGUG
rnacentral:rRNA from 1 species